rnacentral:rRNA from 1 species
UACAGAGGGUGCGAGCGUUAAUCGGAAUUACUGGGCGUAAAGCGUGCGUAGACGGUUAUUUAAGUCGGGUGUGAAAGCCCCGGGCUCAACCUGGGAAUUGCAUUCGAGACUGAAUAGCUAGGGUACGGUAGAGGGAAGCGGAAUUUCCGGUGUAGCGGUGAAAUGCGUAGAUAUUGGGAGGAACACCGGUGGCGAAGGCGGCCCCCUGGACCGGUACUGACGCUGAGGCGCGAAAGCGUGGGUAGCAAACGGG